UACAGAGGGUGCGAGCGUUGUUCGGAAUUAUUGGGCGUAAAGGGCGCGUAGGCGGCGCGGUAUGUCAACUGUGAAAUCUCCUGGCUCAACUGGGAGCUUGCAGGCGAAACUGCCGUGCUGGAGUGUGGGAGAGGUGCGUGGAAUUCCUGGUGUAGCGGUGAAAUGCGUAGAUAUCAGGAGGAACACCUGUGGCGAAAGCGGCGCACUGGACCACAACUGACGCUGAGGCGCGAAAGCUAGGGGAGCAAACAGG
rnacentral:rRNA from 1 species